GGUAAUACGGAGGGUGCAAGCGUUAAUCGGAAUUACUGGGCGUAAAGCGCACGCAGGCGGUCUGUCAAGUCGGAUGUGAAAUCCCCGGGCUCAACCUGGGAACUGCAUUCGAAACUGGCAGGCUAGAGUCUUGUAGAGGGGGGUAGAAUUCCAGGUGUAGCGGUGAAAUGCGUAGAGAUCUGGAGGAAUACCGGUGGCGAAGGCGGCCCCCUGGACGAAGACUGACGCUCAGGUGCGAAAGCGUGGGGAGCAAACAGGAUUAGAUACCCUGGUAGUCCACGCUGUAAACGAUGUCGAUUUGGAGGUUGUGCCCUUGAGGCGUGGCUUCCGGAGCUAACGCGUUAAAUCGACCGCCUGGGGAGUACGGCCGCAAGGUUAAAACUCAAAUGAAUUGACGGGGGCCCGCACAAGCGGUGGAGCAUGUGGUUUAAUUCGAUGCAACGCGAAGAACCUUACCUACUCUUGACAUCCAGA
rnacentral:rRNA from 1 species